rnacentral:tRNA from 1 species
GAACUCGUGGCCAAGCUGGUAAGGCACCUGACUUUUAAUCAGGGAAUCGUAGGUUCGAUUCCUACCGGGUUCA